AUUCCAGCUCCAAUAGCGUAUAUUAAAGUUGUUGCGGUUAAAAAGCUCGUAGUUGGAUUUCUGCUGAGGAUGACCGGUCCGCCCUCUGGGUGAGUAUCUGGCUCAGCCUUGGCAUCUUCCUGAAGAACGUAUCUGCACUUGACUGUGUGGUGCGGUAUUUAGGACAUUUACUUUGAGGAAAUUAGAGUGUUUCAAGCAAGCGCACGCCUUGAAUACAUUAGCAUGGAAUAAUAAGAUAGGACUCUGGCCUAUCUUGUUGGUCUGUAGGACCGGAGUAAUGAUUAAGAGGGACAGUCGGGGGCACUCGUAUUUCAUUGUCAGAGGUGAAAUUCUUGGAUUUAUGAAAGACGAACUACUGCGAAAGCAUUUGCCAAGGAUGUUUUCAUCA
rnacentral:rRNA from 1 species